UAACAUCCUGGCCUUUUGAUGCACCU
rnacentral:piRNA from 1 species